rnacentral:rRNA from 1 species
AACGAACGCUGGCGGCAUGCCUAACACAUGCAAGUCGAACGAACCCUUCGGGGUUAGUGGCGCACGGGUGCGUAACGCGUGGGAAUCUGCCCUUAGGUACGGAAUAACUCUCCGAAAGGGGUGCUAAUACCGUAUGAAGUCUUCGGACCAAAGAUUUAUCGCCUAGGGAUGAGCCCGCGUUGGAUUAGCUAGUUGGUGGGGUAAAGGCCUACCAAGGCGACGAUCCAUAGCUGGUCUGAGAGGAUGAUCAGCCACACUGGGACUGAGACACGGCCCAGACUCCUACGGGAGGCAGCAGUGGGGAAUAUUGGACAAUGGGCGCAAGCCUGAUCCAGCAAUGCCGCGUGAGUGAUGAAGGCCUUAGGGUUGUAAAGCUCUUUUACCCGGGAAGAUAAUGACUGUACCGGGAGAAUAAGCCCCGGCUAACUCCGUGCCAGCCGCCGCAGUAAAAU